rnacentral:rRNA from 1 species
UGCAAGUUGAGCGCUGAAGAUUGGUACUUGUACCGAUUGGAUGAGCAGCGAACGGGUGAGUAACGCGUGGGGAAUCUGCCUUUGAGCGGGGGACAACAUUUGGAAACGAAUGCUAAUACCGCAUAAUAGCUUUAAACAUAAGUUUUAAGUUUGAAAGAUGCAAUUGCAUCACUCAAAGAUGAUCCCGCGUUGUAUUAGCUAGUUGGUGAGGUAAAGGCUCACCAAGGCGAUGAUACAUAGCCGACCUGAGAGGGUGAUCGGCCACAUUGGGACUGAGACACGGCCCAAACUCCUACGGGAGGCAGCAGUAGGGAAUCUUCGGCAAUGGACGAAAGUCUGACCGAGCAACGCCGCGUGAGUGAAGAAGGUUUUCGGAUCGUAAAACUCUGUUGUUAGAGAAGAACGACGAGGAGAGUGGAAAGCUCCUCGUGUGACGGUAUCUAACCAGAAAGGGACGGCUAACUACGUGCCAGCAGCCGCGGUAAUACGUAGGUCCCGAGCGUUGUCCGGAUUUAUUGGGCGUAAAGCGAGCGCAGGUGGUUUAUUAAGUCUGGUGUAAAAGGCAGUGGCUCAACCAUUGUAUGCAUUGGAAACUGGUAGACUUGAGUGCAGGAGAGGAGAGUGGAAUUCCAUGUGUAGCGGUGAAAUGCGUAGAUAUAUGGAGGAACACCGGUGGCGAAAGCGGCUCUCUGGCCUGUAACUGACACUGAGGCUCGAAAGCGUGGGGAGCAAACAGGAUUAGAUACCCUGGUAGUCCACGCCGUAAACGAUGAGUGCUAGAUGUAGGGAGCUAUAA